rnacentral:rRNA from 1 species
UACGGGAGGCAGCAGGGGGAAUAUUGCACAAUGGGCGCAAGCCUGAUGCAGCCAUGCCGCGUGUAUGAAGAAGGCCUUCGGGUUGUAAAGUACUUUCAGUCGUGAGGAAGGUGUUAAGGUUAAUAACCUUAGCAAUUGACGUUAGCGACAGAAGAAGCACCGGCUAACUCCGUGCCAGCAGCCGCGGUAAUACGGAGGGUGCGAGCGUUAAUCGGAAUUACUGGGCGUAAAGGGCACGCAGGCGGUUAAUUAAGUUGGAUGUGAAAUCCCCGGGCUUAACCUGGGAAUGGCAUUCAAGACUGGUUAGCUAGAGUCUUGUAGAGGGGGUAGAAUUCCAUGUGUAGCGGUGAAAUGCGUAGAGAUGUGGAGGAAUACCGGUGGCGAAGGCGGCCCCUGGACAAAGACUGACGCUCAUGUGCGAAAGCGUGGGGAGUAAACAGGGAUUAGAUACC